GCGACGAGCUCCGAGCGGGACACUGAACGGCCCGUAUGCGCAAGAUAAGCACGGACUGAAUCAGGUACACGCACCUGCCGGGGACGCACUGACCGAGGUGCGGACGGCGGUACCAGGACAGGUAAAGCCGCGAACCCUCGGACCUAAGAACUUGACAGGUACACCCUGCCUGAUGAAGCUACGUACGGCCAGGUGCCCAUCGAGUGAAUCAGGGUGAGAACCUACUUCUUCAUAAAGAGAAUUUGGAGGGAGCUUUUUGUUCUGCGGGGACAACAUCUGGAUUUGAAUACAUCCAUGCUCAAAAGGAGAUUUCUCAUAAUGGAGCCAACUGAAAGCACUCAGAGUACAAGGACCGGUGAGCUUUCAAAAGGAGACACUUUGGGAGACUCGCCAGGGGCCCUCGUAUCCCCGGCAGCACGAGUUUUGGAGGUCAGUGGAGGGCUCUCGCAUCAUGCAUGUAACUUUCAUACUCAAAGACUUACCUUCAUCCUCCAUCCCUCACCCACCUGCAGAAACUUGGGGCUUGAAUUCAUUUAAAAACAUUUGUGGUUUCAGAAGCCUUCUUUUUAUUAUGAAGCUGCCAAGGAGAUCUUAGAAUGAAAGGCAUUUUUAGAGAUGAGAAAGAAGGAAGCCAGGCCAAGGCCGGGCCGGCUCUCAGCCGUGGGUCUGUAAAGGUGACACGUGGGACAUGGCCACCUGCAGACCCUGCAGGCGGCUGGGCAGAGGCACCCACAGGGACCUGGGUUUGAAUCCCUGCUCUGCCAGUCAUUUCCACAGCGAUCUUGGGGGAAGUUGUGUAACCUCUGGGCCCUGCGACGCCCUUUCCUGGAGCCUGGAGCUGGAACGAAGCCCCUUGGAGCCCUGACAUCAGAGGUGACGCUAGUCUUCGCAGGCAAUGACUCGGCGGAAUGUGAUGCCACUCCCUAACCCGUGUCCGGGCUGGCAGAGUGUGUGCCGCCUCCCACCAGGUGGUCUGGCUGCUUUGAUGGAUCUCCUAACUUCUCUGCACCCCAGAGCCCUCAGUGCUGGCCAGACCUUCACUCACUCCUGGGUGACAACCCCGUUCUCAGAUAGCGGGUCCCACAGGCUGGCCUAUGGCGCCCCCUGCUGGUGACUGCAGGGAGAAGGAUGCCCUAAGCCAAAGGAAGUCCUUCCUGGGGUCUAAUCUCUACCUUUUGCAUGAUGAGGCAGCUGAGGUGGCUCGCUUUCUCCUCCACCCCAGAAAAUAAAGUCAUAUGGAGU
rnacentral:lncRNA from 1 species